rnacentral:rRNA from 1 species
UAAGACGAACCGUGCGAACGUUAUUCGGAAUCACUGGGCUUAAAGGGCGCGUAGACGGGUCGGCGCAUCGGCCGCUGAAAUCCCCCGGCUCAACCGGGGAAGUGGCGCCGAGAUGGCCGUCCUCGAGUGGAGGAGAGGGACCUGGAACUGCCGGUGGAGCGGUGAAAUGCGUUGAGAUCGGCAGGAACUCCGAUGGCGAAAGCAAGGUCCUGGACUCCCACUGACGUUGAGGCGCGAAAGCCAGGGGAGCGAACGGGAUUAGAUACCCCGGUAGUCCUGGCUGUAAACGAUGGGCACUGGACGGCGAGCUCGCCGAUGGGCGCGCCGUCGCAGCGAAAGCGUGAAGUGCCCCGCCUGGGGAGUAUGGUCGCAAGGCUG